CAAAAAUGCCUUAAGAAUCACAAAUAUUCAUCUAAAAAAGCCUACUCAAACACUGCUUAAUUAGAUGAAUUGUGCCCUCAUCUUCAUUAGAAAUAAUCAAAUCAUCAACAAAAAGUAAAAAAAUUGCACGUCCUUUUGUUGUGACAACGCUGAACAUGGCAGGAUCAUAAUGGCUCAGUUAAAAUCCUAUAUAAAUAAUAGCAGCAUUGAAUUUGUCAAAUCAAGCAAGGGGAACCUAUUUAAGCCCAAAGAAUACAUGUCGUAAACAAC
rnacentral:lncRNA from 1 species